rnacentral:lncRNA from 1 species
GGUGACACCAACGGUUGGCUGAGGACGAUUCCCUGAGCCUUGACAAAGCAGGAGCCCUCCGUGGCGGUGCGUCGGUGUCGAGGCUCCAAUCUGACUAAUCCAGGGGGUCGACAAAACAGAUUCGGGACACUAUGCUACACGGAGGGCCUACCAGGAUGCAGAAACAGCAGACGGAGUCCAGGGAAAGCAGUGCGGCAUCCCAGCCUCAGGCCUGCCCGUACGGUGUUCGGACGGAAUGAAGUUGAUAAUAGUGAGACCUUGUUGGUACAAGACUCUGUAACAUAACCUGCGCUUCUCAACAAAGAAUUGCUUUUCUGACUUCUGCACUCAAUAGCAAGACAAAUCUCUCCUCUGUCUUUUUCUUAUCAGACUACUCAACAUGAAGGCAAUAAGAAUGAAGACCUUUAUGUAUAAUAAUUGACUUCCACUUAAUAAAUAAGGUUACUUGGUACACUGGUCGACAAAACCUUGAAAUGUUGAUGUUUAAGGGCUGUUGAUUGCUGGCAACAAAGAAGUCCAACUGUGCUGGUACCCGAGAUAGCGUCUCCACAUUUUCUUCCAGGAUCAUCACCUUUGUUGUAAAUAGCUCCCACAUAGUGUGAACAGAAGUCAUAUGUUUUAGAUUUUCUGCCUUGGCACCCAGG